CGUGUGCUUACAAGUAGUCAGAGCCCGUUAAUGGGUGAUGGCGUGCCUUUUGUAGAAUGAACCGGCGAGUUACGAUUUGAUGCAAGGUUAAGCAGUAAAUGUGGAGCCGUAGCGAAAGCGAGUCUGAAUAGGGCGUUUAGUAUUUGGUCGUAGACCCGAAACCAGGUGAUCUACCCUUGGUCAGGUUGAAGUUCAGGUAACACUGAAUGGAGGACCGAACCGACUUACGUUGAAAAGUGAGCGGAUGAACUGAGGGUAGCGGAGAAAUUCCAAUCGAACCUGGAGAUAGCUGGUUCUCUCCGAAAUAGCUUUAGGGCUAGCCUCAAGUGAUGAUUAUUGGAGGUAGAGCACUGUUUGGACGAGGGGCCCCUCUCGGGUUACCGAAUUCAGACAAACUCCGAAUGCCAAUUAAUUUAACUUGGGAGUCAGAACAUGGGUGAUAAGGUCCGUGUUCGAAAGGGAAACAGCCCAGACCACCAGCUAAGGUCCCAAAAUAUAUGUUAAGUGGAAAAGGAUGUGGCGUUGCCCAGACAACUAGGAUGUUGGCUUAGAAGCAGCCAUCAUUUAAAGAGUGCGUAAUAGCUCACUAGUCGAGUGACACUGCGCCGAAAAUGUACCGGGGCUAAACAUAUUACCGAAGCUGUGGAUUGUCCUUUGGACAAUGGUAGGAGAGCGUUCUAAGGGCGUUGAAGCAUGAUCGUAAGGACAUGUGGAGCGCUUAGAAGUGAGAAUGCCGGUGUGAGUAGCGAAAGACGGGUGAGAAUCCCGUCCACCGAUUGACUAAGGUUUCCAGAGGAAGGCUCGUCCGCUCUGGGUUAGUCGGGUCCUAAGCUGAGGCCGACAGGCGUAGGCGAUGGAUAACAGGUUGAUAUUCCUGUACCACCUAUAAUCGUUUUAAUCGAUGGGGGGACGCAGUAGGAUAGGCGAAGCGUGCGAUUGGAUUGCACGUCUAAGCAGUAAGGCUGAGUAUUAGGCAAAUCCGGUACUCGUUAAGGCUGAGCUGUGAUGGGGAGAAGACAUUGAGUCUUCGAGUCGUUGAUUUCACACUGCCGAGAAAAGCCUCUAGAUAGAAAAUAGGUGCCCGUACCGCAAACCGACACAGGUAGUCAAGAUGAGAAUUCUAAGGUGAGCGAGCGAACUCUCGUUAAGGAACUCGGCAAAAUGACCCCGUAACUUCGGGAGAAGGGGUGCUCUUUAGGGUUAACGCCCAGAAGAGCCGCAGUGAAUAGGCCCAAGCGACUGUUUAUCAAAAACACAGGUCUCUGCUAAACCGUAAGGUGAUGUAUAGGGGCUGACGCCUGCCCGGUGCUGGAAGGUUAAGAGGAGUGGUUAGCUUCUGCGAAGCUACGAAUCGAAGCCCCAGUAAACGGCGGCCGUAACUAUAACGGUCCUAAGGUAGCGAAAUUCCUUGUCGGGUAAGUUCCGACCCGCACGAAAGGCGUAACGAUUUGGGCACUGUCUCAACGAGAGACUCGGUGAAAUCAUAGUACCUGUGAAGAUGCAGGUUACCCGCGACAGGACGGAAAGACCCCGUGGAGCUUUACUGUAGCCUGAUAUUGAAAUUCGGCACAGCUUGUACAGGAUAGGUAGGAGCCUUUGAAACGUGAGCGCUAGCUUACGUGGAGGCGCUGGUGGGAUACUACCCUAGCUGUGUUGGCUUUCUAACCCGCACCACUUA
rnacentral:rRNA from 1 species